AUUAUUGGUGCAGGAUAUGUUUAAUGUAUUGCUUGUAUGUGCCUCUCCCCCUCCCCCUUUUUCCUGUCCCAUUGUUUCUCCAGCAGGGUGUUGUCCCAGGGACACUGCCAGACUAGUUUAAACUAGCUGCUUUGUCCCUCCUCAAUCUCCCAUCAGGCCUUGCUUUUGUCUGACCCCACCCUUCCUUGUACUAUAGUACCUCAUGCACCCUAUUUUUUGUAAAAGAGGCUGUUGGGGGCUUAAAAUGUGUGUGCUAUGUCUAGUAAAGGAGUUGAUG